GACGAACCCUGGCGGCGUGCUUAACACAUGCAAGUCGAACGGAAAGGCCCUGCUUUUGUGGGGUGCUCGAGUGGCGAACGGGUGAGUAACACGUGAGUAACCUGCCCUUGACUUUGGGAUAACUUCAGGAAACUGGGGCUAAUACCGGAUAGGAGCUCCUGCUGCAUGGUGGGGGUUGGAAAGUUUCGGCGGUUGGGGAUGGACUCGCGGCUUAUCAGCUUGUUGGUGGGGUAGUGGCUUACCAAGGCUUUGACGGGUAGCCGGCCUGAGAGGGUGACCGGCCACAUUGGGACUGAGAUACGGCCCAGACUCCUACGGGAGGCAGCAGUGGGGAAUAUUGCACAAUGGGCGGAAGCCUGAUGCAGCAACGCCGCGUGCGGGAUGACGGCCUUCGGGUUGUAAACCGCUUUCGCCUGUGACGAAGCGUGAGUGACGGUAAUGGGUAAAGAAGCACCGGCUAACUACGUG
rnacentral:rRNA from 1 species